CCCUUAGAUGUCCUGGGCCGCACGCGCGCUACACUGGCAGGUUCAGCGAGCUUCAUGCCCUGAUCUGAAAGGAAUGGGAAAUCUUUUCAAAACCUGCCGUGCUUGGGAUAGAUGUUUGCAAUUAUUCAUCUUCAACGAGGAUUGCCUUGUAAGCGCACGUCAUCAGCGUGCAUUGAAUACGACCCUGUAUUCUGUACACACCGCCCGUCGCUCCUACCGAUUGAAGUUUUCGGUGAGUUGACAGGAGGAUUUUUUUGAAACUGGUUCGCCAGUGGAUUUUAGAUCCAAAUGCCAACGAAUCGAUGGCUUUAGAGGAAGGAGAAGUCGUAACA
rnacentral:rRNA from 1 species